CCUACGGGAGGCAGCAGUGGGGAAUAUUGGGCAAUGGAGGCAACUCUGACCCAGCAACGCCGCGUGAAUGAUGAAGGUCUUCGGAUUGUAAAGUUCUGUGAUGGGGGAUGAACACAAUGACGGUACCCCAAUAGCAAGCCACGGCUAACUACGUGCCAGCAGCCGCGGUAAUACGUAGGUGGCAAGCGUUAUCCGGAAUGACUGGGCGUAAAGGGAGCGUAGGCGGUCUGUUAAGUUGGAAGUGAAAUCCCGGGGCUCAACCCCGGAACUGCUUUCAAGACUGACGGACUUGAGUGUAAGAGGGGUAAGCGGAAUUCCUAGUGUAGCGGUGGAAUGCGUAGAUAUUAGGAGGAACACCAGUGGCGAAGGCGGCUUACUGGAUUAUAACUGACGCUGAGGCUCGAAAGCGUGGGUAGCAAACAGGAUUAGAUACCCGAGUAGUC
rnacentral:rRNA from 1 species